GUGGGAGUCCCAGCAGACAAGCUGGGUAUUUUUACUUCAAUAGUGACUGCAAAUUAUCUCCAAAGUGGAAGGUGGAGGAGGCUGACCAACUGGAGAACUGAUGGAGAGUCUAGACAACAAAACGUGGCGUGAAGAUCACCAGAUUUACAGCGAGUGGAGCAACACUGGUGGCUGCCCAUCAGGACCACAAGGCUGCAGCUUCAUCCAGGAAAUAAAUCUAGCAGUGGGAUCGUCGGUGGAACACAUGUCCUGAAGGAGGCAGCCUGCUUCUCCCUGCCUGCCAGUGAUGCAAUCUCCCCUCACUUGUUGCCAAAUGGUGCUAACUAGUGCCCACACUCUCAGAUCGUCUCCAAUGUGGGGUUUUUUUCCCUCUUUUUAUCGGCGUUCUUUUCCUCCCUGCGCUGCGUGUGAUUCAAGUGCCCUCCCUGGAAGCGUGUGCAAGUCAAACAAAUCUGCCUGAGUUGUUUAUCCUCGACGCUUGAAUGUCAACUUGGCAGAACCUGCAGCUACAGCUGUUGUGAGGAAAGAAAUGAGAGUAAUUACAGACAGACGAGAGUGCACACAGGACUGGUGCGGGAGAUGUAAGAGCACCAUCACACGCACACACACACACACACACACACACACACACACACACACACA